UGUUCUUCACUCCAAUACAGGCACUGGUUGAAUUUUGUUAUAUGUUGCAUAAGGCAACUCCAGGCGCCAACGGGAUUGCAAGAAAGUGGCAUACUAAGAGUCUGUUUGUUUGUUUGUAACUUUAAGAGCGUUUUGAUGACUAGGAUUCUGAUUAAGUUUUGACAGUUCCUUUUCGAACUUGCCUUCUUACACUAACAAUUUCCAUCCCACUCCUGUCCAACCCUCACUCAUCAUUGUUGUCAAUGCUCGCAAACCUAGUACUCACUUCUCUCUCACACGUUUUGGUACUUAGCUUUGAUUGCAAAUUAUAUAUAUUGUACGCUAUAACAUAUAUUAACAAUUGUAAAGAAAUUCUGGACCUUUAAUUUGGAAAAACCAAUAGUAAGAGUUGGUCUUUGUGUCCCAAACUGAAAGUGGGAUAAACAUAGAGGGAGUUUGAAAAAGCGUCCAAUCCGUCAAAGAAAUAGUGGCUUUCAGUCUAACGUUGAUUGGGAUCUCAGAGAGACUGUAAUGGAUUCUAAUGGCAUCAGUUAAAAUUUCUAAUACAAGGGAAGCAGGUGCAGUUCACGUACAAGCAAAGGUGGAGGCUGUGUAUAUGUAGGGAUACCGUCCCAAGAAAAGAAUUCAGUUCUAUGGUUUGUAAGGCAAAAAGGUUGGAUCUUGUGGGGAUUUUGAUCUGAUCAAGAAAGGGAAGAAAAAGACGUAGAGUGAAAGAAACCCAGAAAAAAAGGGUUGAGCAUUGGAGAAGCAGCUGAAAGCUGUGAAUCUUUUGCUUUACUGGGUUUUGGUGAUUUCAGCUUCCCCAAGUUGGUUGAGGAGGUUUUGAAGUUUAGUUGGGGUGGUUUUGUUUAGAGGCAGAGAUUGAAAAGGGGAUUUGCAGUUCAAGUUGAUACGUGUAAUGUGAGUGACAUUGAGAUGGGGGUUCAAUGCUCCAAACUCAUACCAUGUUGCUUGAAUUCACAUACGAAGGCAGCGGUUCUCGAAGCUCCUGACAUUGAUGAUGAGGAGAAGAGCAAGGUUGACAACUUGCCUGCAUUUUGUGAAUUCACGUUUGAGCAACUUAAAAAUGCGACAUCUGGUUUUGCUGUCGAGUACACUGUGUCUGAGCAAGUAGAGAAGGCUCCAAAUGUUGAUUAUAAAGGGAAACUCGAAAAUCAGAAGAGAAUUGCUGUUAAGCGCUUCAAUAGGAUGACCUGGCCUGAAUGCUCGGCAAUUUUUGGUAGGCAUCCUUUAACUUGGUACUUUUCUAUCUCAGAAUGAUAUAAUUCAGAUACUUUGGUGAUGAAAACUGGUCUGCAUUUUGUAAGGCUUGCAUCACAUCUUUUCCAUUGUAAGGCGUACUCAUACUAAUACGAGGUUUUUGGUUACUGAUCUAUGUUGUACUCAUUUUUAAUGGUUGGAUACUGGAUCCAUUUAGUGUUGCAAUUGCCUCUGCUUAAUAGUUUCACUUUGUCUCACUGAUGAUUUAAGUUUGGGUUUUUCAUUCGGAAGGGAUAUAUUGGCAUAUUAAGCAUCACAUUUAUUUAAUAAAUGAGGGCUACGUUAUGUUAGAACUUGUGGAUGCGCUUUAUCACGACCUCCUUUGCCUGAUUGAAAAAAGUACGGAUGGGAAGAGUUAUAGUACAAAUCUGGCAUUUACUCCUCCUGAAUAUAUUAGGACUGAUCCCUUGUUUUGCAGGGAGAGUAACACAAGAAUGUGCAAUAUAUAGAUUUGGACUCUCUUGAUUGAUCUUCUCAGCGGAAAGCGUAUCCCCUCUAGCCAUACCUGAUUCGAGACAGAAAUCUUCAGAUGCUGACAGAUUCUUGCUUGGAAGGACAGCUUUCUAAUGAUGAUGGUACUGAGUUGGCACGCUUGGCUUCACUAUGUUUACAAUCUGAACCCCGAGAGCUACCAAAUCCAAAGUCAUUAGUUGCUUCUUUGACUCCUCUUCAGGAAGAAAUUGAGGUUGGUUCUGUCUCCUUUGUUUCUCUUAUUAAGCAUUCUAUUCCCAACUUUACUCGGGGAGCAUAGUUUGACUGCUUAAAAUCUUCACACAAUUGUUUGUAGAUCUAUAGUUUAGGGCAGUCUUGUAAGCAAUAUAGUCAUACGUUAUCUUCUUUUCACUGGACACAAUCUCAGCUAUUUGUGUAAGUUCGUAUCCACCGAUUUUUUAUUUGUUGUAAUACUGAACCUUGUACCAAGCGGAAAUUAUUUGAAAAUUUGGGAAAGGGGCAUGACACUAAUUUGUUAUUAGUGAGGACUUGAGAGAGCUACACUUUUGUUUAGUGCCUUUCAUGGUGAAUGAUACUCUAUAAAAUAUGAAUCUCUAUGCCCUGAAACUGUGGGUCGUUAACUACAAGGGUUUUCAUUGAUACCGUACUUGUUGGGUGCCAAUUAGAAACAAUCAGAUCUGCACCAUCGUAGUAGUAAGUAGUUUAAUCAAAUAUAGAUGCUUAACUUGAUGCUGGUAGCUAUAUCUGGUUCCUUCUUUUGUUUUGAUGGGUAUCCCACACGGUACCUCCUGGUCUUCUCUUUCACCACUCGGUGAAGCCUGCUCAAGAAGGGAUUUGACUGCUAUACAUGAGAUCCUAGAGAAUAUCGACUACAAAGACGAUGGAAUGACAAAUGAGGUUCUAUAUUUGUUUAACUAAUGGAGAAAUAUCUAAUAAGUUGUGUUGUAUACAUAUUUAGCCUUCCCAAUAGUUACGUUCCACUGCAGCUCUUUUCCAAAUGUGGACUGACCAAAUGCAGGAACCAUUAGAAUCAAAGAAAAAGGGGGAUUCUGCUUUUAAGCACAAGGACUUCAGAACCUUAAUUGAGCAAUUCACAGACUCUCGGCUGCUGUUCUUGACGGCUGGGCAGAGUUCUUCCCACUUGAAACUUCUGCUUAUCGCUCAUGUCGAAGAACCGAUGAGUAUGCCUUGUUCACCGUGGGUAAUGGCUCCAGAAGGAGAAUGUUGCUACCGACAGUAGUGUAAGAGUCAUUCAAACCCAUGAGAAGCUUCAUUGUUUUCUGAGUUUCCACAUAUGAAGCGAUCACCUUCUUUGUUUAGCAGCGGCAUGCCAGGAUUGAGCAUCGUACAUCUCGUUCAUCCCAAAGGCUUUUAAGCUUUGUUAAGUAAGAACUCACAAUCAUAUUAGCUUGCACACAAUCGUGGAUUUCGUUCUCUAUGUGAAUGUCUUAACCAAGAUAUAAAUUCAUGUAUUGCAUGUUCAAGUUUUGUUAUUUUUAAGGUUAAUCAUCCGUUGCAUCAUCUGUGAUUCAUGUUUGUUUCUCUCAACCUAAAACCAUAACCUUGCUUCUCCAAUUCUCUCUCGCACUGGAAUUAAAUCUCAUAUAUAAUAUUAGUUUUAUCUUUUGAUUCACAGGUUCAAUGAACACUUUUGUCAAUGUAAAUGAAUCAAUAUUUCCUACUAUUUUUUUGCAUGUAAAUACUCCAAAAGUUUGUUAUCUUUUGUAUAAGUAUUGUUAUCGAUCUAAUCUUUUUUGCAUGUACAUGAUCUUUUGUAUGUAAAAGUGUACCACACGUUUUCAAUGCAAAUAUUAAUAUCUUUUGUAACAUAAUCUUUUAUAUCUUACAAACAUUUUCUUCCAUACGAUUCUAAUCCCACCAAAGCAAUGCGUGGGAAAAAUUUCCUUGUUACAAACUAAAUAGAAAAGCAAACAACUAAAAAUCAACUUACAAUAAUAUCUUUCCUAACAAUAUUCACAGAAAAAAACAGUUGCUUGGAGAAGUCCCAAUGAAUUAAAGUUCUUACAAACGAGGCACGGUAUCAAAUCAUUUACCAAGGAAAACAUAUCCCUGGUCCAUUUCUGCAAUCUCGGUAUAGAAGCCACGCAGUUGAACUGAAGUGAAGAAGAUGCCUGGAGCGACUGAUAAAAAUAAACAAGCACGGAUUUUGAAGUGGAGGUCCACAGAGCUGUGGAUUUCCAGCAUAAACAGAGGGAUCAAAACUUUGGAGCUGGGUGCCAGUUGGAAUCUUUCCAACCAAGUUGUGUGACAAGUCCAAGACACCAAGACGACUUAUCCGAGCAAGGCUUGUUGGAAUUCUUCCGUCUAUAUGAUUUCUUGACAAAUCGAGUGAAUCCAAGGACUCCAAUUUUCCAAUGUCUGGAGUAAUUUGACCUGUAAGUUGGUUUCUAGAAAGGUUUAAAGAAACCAAGCCAACAAGACGACUGAUUUCGUUCGGAAUCUCCCCAGUCAAUCUAUUGCUUGAGAAAUCAAUACUUCUCACAAGCCCCAAAGUAUUCCUGUAAACCCGCAUGCUUUCUUUCCAUAUGAAGAUUUCAUCGUCCUCAUAAAGAUCCUCCCAGGAUGAUGGUUGAUCAGCAAUUCUCGAGUAAGCAUGUUGGACGGUUAGAAAUGAAUUUCCUUUCUGAGCCAGAGUGGUCAACUUUUUUAGGCAGUUCGGUAUUCCUCCAGAUAUGUUGUUCACAGAGACAUCCAAAAUUUGAAUGUAUAUUAGAUCACAUAGUUGCGAGGGCAAGCUUCCAUUGAAGUGAUUAGAGGAAAGCAUUAGGAUAACCAAGUUCCGAAAGCUAGCCCCCAACCAUUUAGGUAUUGAACCCGACACUGGUUAUCUGCAAGAUCAAGGACCAUUAAACUCUUGCAAUUCUUCAAGGAUAAAGGCAACUCUCCCACAAACUCAUUGCUUCUUAAUUUCAAUGUUUCGAUCCCAAACAAGGAGCCUAUCGUGGUAGGAAUUUUUCCCGAAAGAGUAUUGGAACUCAAAUCAAGCAUGACGAGAUUGCUAUGUGUCAAGCAUUCUGGAAGUUCUCCAGAGAUAUUGUUGUAUGAGAGAUUAAGAAAACGUAAACGCAUAGCUACAUUUGCACACAAGAAAGAAAUCGACCCUGAAAUGUUAU